rnacentral:rRNA from 1 species
GAUGAACGCUGGCGGCGUGCCUAAUACAUGCAAGUCGAGCGAACAGAUGAGGAGCUUGCUCCUCUGACGUUAGCGGCGGACGGGUGAGUAACACGUGGAUAACCUACCUAUAAGACUGGGAUAACUUCGGGAAACCGGAGCUAAUACCGGAUAAUAUAUUGAACCGCAUGGUUCAAUAGUGAAAGACGGUUUUGCUGUCACUUAUAGAUGGAUCCGCGCCGCAUUAGCUAGUUGGUAAGGUAACGGCUUACCAAGGCAACGAUGCGUAGCCGACCUGAGAGGGUGAUCGGCCGCACUAGAACUGAGACACGGUCCAGACUCCUACGGGGGGCAGCAGUAGGGAAUCUUCCGCAAUGGGCGAAAGCCUGACGGAGCAACGCCGCGUGAGUGAUGAAGGUCUUCGGAUCGUAAAACUCUGUUAUUAGGGAAGAACAAAUGUGUAAGUAACUAUGCACGUCUUGACGGUACCUAAUCAGAAAGCCACGGCUAACUACGUG